CUCUUCUAUACUCUUUUGUUCUUCUUUCUUUUCUUCAUUUUCUUCUUUCUUUUCCCUCAAACCGAACGGAGAGCGAGGGGGAGAGACAGAGAGUGGGUUCGAGAGAGAGUGAGUGAAACAGAGAAUGAGAGAGACCGAGAGUGAGAUCGGGGGAGAGAUGGGAACAGAGGGAGAGAGACGAGAGAGAUGCAGUCGGAGAGGGAGGCAGAAACCGAGAGAGGGAGAGAGGCAGAGGUUCGAUCCUCCAUGGCUCGCCGUUGGGUCUCCGGUGAGUGGUCUGGAGGUGCGAUUUCCGGCGGUUCAGGGUAGAAAUCCGGUGGGAUGGCUGUGGGUCGACCGUAGGAUGAUUUCCGGUAGUUGUGUGGUGAUUUUCGGUGGUUUCCAGUGAGACUUUCUAUGGGUUGUUCUCAGAUAAAUUCCUAAGGAAUUCUCAAGAUGAUGAGAAGAGACUCAGGAAAAGGGUUGUAAGAGCAUCCUCAUCAAAGUAGCUAAAUUAUCUCCAAAUUUUAGCCAAGCAAUCUACUUUUUUUUUUUUUUAUCUCGCACUUUUAAAAACUUCCUAUAUCAAACUCUCUAAAUAUUUCUCUAUUUUAAUUAUAUAUUAUUUUUUAUUAGAUUUGAGACCAACCACUUUUAACUGAUUUCUUACAUCAAACAAUCCCAGCAUGAAUACUCAUCUAGUGUCCUGGGUCAGAAAAAAGAUCGAGCACCUAACCUACAACCUUUCCAAACCACAGUGAUACACAACCGAAGAAAAGCAUAAAAACCCAACACAUCAAAACCAAAAUCCGAAUAGCCAAAGGAAAAAACACAUCGUCCUCCAAUCAUCGAACUGGGUCUCGCAUCAACAGUCGAACGAGAUUGAGCAAUUGGAAGGGAGGUUACGGCCGUUGAUUCUGCAUCAUUGAUUCUACAGAAUCUUCCGCUACCCACCCAAUCGUUCAUUAAUUUCACUUGAAUGAUUUGGGAAAAGUUUGUUGAUAGACAGUGGGCGAGAAAAGUUUCAAUUUCAAACCCAAAAUCAAUUGAAAACAAAGAAUGAAACUCACAUUUUGGGAAGGGAAAUUCGGGGUAAAAUUCAGCAUCUUCUCGCCUAUUUCAUCGGUGAAAUUAGGGUUUUUGAGGUUGGAAUCUUCGUAGUUGAAGACAGUUGUCGACAUCGACGACGAGGCGGCUGGUUGCAUUCUUGGCGUUGCUCUAGAUCUUGCGGUAGAUUUUGAAGGUUGCGUUCUCAGGGUUCUCGGCCGGUUGCGUUGUCGGCGUUCACGAUGUCGUGUAGUUGAGAAAUCCCUGGAGGAGCUCGAUCUCAUUCUCGUCGGUCCAAAGCCACUGGAAUUGCCUAGGCGAGUUGGCCCAGUGCCUAGAAGCAGCAAGCUGGGUUUCGGUUCAUGCGGAGGAAAGUGGCGAUCUUGCAGGUGACGGAGGAUGUGAAGAAUGGCACGAGAAUGAACAAAAAUAAUAAAAAAUGAAUAGCGUGGGAUCAAAUGGGCGUUAAAUCUGGAGAAGGAUUCUGACAAGAACUAUUUUGGUGAAGGAUUGGAGAGCUUGAUGCAUAGGUGAUUUUGAGAAGUUUCACCAAAAUUUAGUAAAAUGUUUGAAAUGCCGAGUUCAAUACAGAUGCUCUAAGUAUUUCUAGAAUACUUAUUUGUAACUUUCUAUAAUGUCAUGAUUAUGGAUUUGUUUA